AUACGGAGGAUGCGAGCGUUAUCCGGAUUUAUUGGGUUUAAAGGGUGCGUAGGUGGGAAAGUAAGUCAGCGGUGAAAUCUUGUGGCUUAACCAUAAGCUUGCCGUUGAAACUGUUUUUCUUGAGUAUGCUUGCUGUAGGCGGAAUGCGUGUUGUAGCGGUGAAAUGCAUAGAUAUCACGCAGAACUCCGAUUGCGAAGGCAGCUUACAAAAGCAUAACUGACACUGAAGCACGAAAGCGUGGGUAUCAAACAGGAUUAGAUACCCUGGUAGUCCACGCAGUAAACGAUGAUUACUAGGAAUUUGCGAUACACCGUAAGUUCUACAGCGAAAGCGUUAAGUAAUCCACCUGGAGAGUACGCCGGCAACGGUGAA
rnacentral:rRNA from 1 species